GUCAUUCCAGUGGAUGGAGACAAUGGAAUAAACACCAACAACAUUCCUAUCAAAAAGAGGACUGGUACCCAGCUGCAAUUUCUUCAGGAAGACUCCGCUGAAAUGUUUUGGGGAGAUCCUUUCCAACCCACCUACAAGGAGAAUGAAAGAAAGGAUAGUGCUGUUGAUUCAGGAGUUAAAUCAAGCUUAUCUGCAGAAGAGAUGAAUUCAUCAACAGCGGAUAUCUUCAGGGUAUGGGAUUUGGACAUUCCAGUAGAUGGGGACAAUGGAAUAAACACCAACAACAUUCCUAUCAAAAAGAGGACUGGUACUGAGCUGCAAUUUCUUCAGGAAGAUUCCACUGAAGUGUUUCGGGGAGAUCCUUUCCGACCCACCUACGAGAAUGAAAGAAAGGAUAGUGCUGCUGAUUCAGGAGUUAAAUCAAGCUUAUCUGCAGAAGAGAUGAAUUCAUCAACAGUGGAUAUCUUCAGGGUAUGGGAUUUGGACAUUCCGGAUGAGGAAGAUGAUCUUAUUAAAGAGUUGAACG
rnacentral:lncRNA from 1 species